rnacentral:rRNA from 1 species
UACGUAGGUGGCGAGCGUUGUUCGGAUUUAUUGGGCGUAAAGGGUCCGCAGGGGGUUGAUUAAGUCUGACGUGAAAUCCCUGAGCUUAACUCAGGAACUGCGUUGGAGACUGGUUGACUAGAGUGUUGGAGAGGUGAUUGGAAUUCCAGGUGUAGCGGUGGAAUGCGUAGAUAUCUGGAAGAACAUCGAAAGCGAAGGCAGAUCACUGGACAACGACUGACCCUCAGGGACGAAAGCAUGGGGAGCAAAC